rnacentral:lncRNA from 9 species
GCCCGCGCGCGCCCGCCCCGGGAGGAGGGUGCGCGGCGGAGGCGCGGGGGGGGGGGGGAGUCGAGGAGGGGCCGCGCCCGGUCCUCGCCCGCAGCGGGCACCGCCGGGGGCCCCGGGAGGCCUUGUUGGUAUUCCGGGCACAGCAGAAGCCCUGACCUCCCCGCGGAACAGGGGCGCCCGGGAGCGCGGCGCGGCCGCCGCCCCCGGGCGGUCUCCCCGGACUGCGGGGCCGUAGGCGCCUUGCUCCCCCUCCUCCCUGUCCCCUCCUCUCCAGGUCCCCCGUACCCCCUCCCCCGGCCUGAUCCGGCGGCGAAGGGGUGGGCAGGGAAACGCGCUCUCUGGGACAGGUGCCAACUCCGAGACAAAAGACAUAAAAUAGGCGGCAACGGGGGAAGCGCGGCCGGCGCGCUCGGGCGGGGACGGAGGCGCCGCGGGGGCCGCAUCCUCGGUGCCGACCGGGGAAAGUUUGGGAAGUCGCCGCGGCGGCUUCGCAGCGGCGGGGGACACGCGGGCCGGGCCGCCCUCCGCGCCGCGCUCGCCCUCUCCGCGCCGCUGCUGAAUAAUUCAUGGCGCGGCCGCCGGCCAUUAGCAUGCACCGGGCGCGCGGCGCGUCUGUGCCCAGCCGUCGCCGCCGCAUUCGGCGCCCCGGCCGCGCUAGACGAGCGGCCGCGCAGAGGCCGGGCCCGCGCCGUCCCCGCGCUCGCCCGCCCGUCCGCCCGUCCGCCCACCCGGCGGCUCCCAUUGUGCCCCAGGCCCGCGCCGCUCCGCCGUCCUGUGACCGCCUGCGCCCCGCAGCGCGCCCGACGGCCGGCCGCUGGAAGUUCGGGCCCGCGGCGCACGCCCUGCCGCCCCGGGAUGCACGUGAACUUGGAGAAAGUCUCGGGGCGCGCCGGCGCAGACCUCCGCGGCAGGGCGUGGGCGCCCCUGGCCCCGCGCGCUUUCGUUUUCGUCUGGGACAAAGGUCCCUCGCGGCGCAGGUCGCGGACGUGGAGGCAGUGCCCUGCGGGCCACUCAGCGGGGAGGUCCGGUCGUUCAGUCAAGGGAAGCCGGAGCCUGGAGAAGACGAGCCGCGCGGUCGGAGGCGCGGUGCGGGACCAGGACAGUGGGGCCUGGCCGUGCGCUUCGCCCUGGCGGUCCAGGAGCUGUCUCGCCCUCCGAAGAGUUACGGGAGGUGGCACUGCUUUUGCUCUCUGCCCUUUCGACACGUGAAGGAGAGAAUCAUUCGGAACCCAGGACUCAGACCGGUGGCCGAGGGCCUGUGCAGCCGCGAGCACGACAGCGCAGCGCUGGCCGCGUCCGCGCGCGUUCCUCCGACAAGGGCAGAGCAGUCGACCAGCGCGCCCCAGUCUCGAUCGGGUUCAAGGCGACUCUUGAGGACGGUGGCUGACACACGGGCCCAGCCGGCAGCCCUGGGGAAUUUGUGGGGAGCAAGAAAGGGGUGAAGGAAUGCACGUUUGCCGUAAUUACAGGGUUUUAAGGUGUGGGGCUUUGAAAGUACAAUCCUGCAUGGCCUUACUGUGAAUGGAUGGGCACUUUGUCUCGGUCCGGAUGCAGGAGUCCUGCCUUUAGAGGCAGCUCAGAAGCCCUGUGGAUGGAUCGUACGAGCGCCCCGGCCCAGCCCACUUGCAGCCAGUGGUAGGAGGCUUGCCGAGCAGAGAUGUGACCGGCCGAGACUGCGGUUAUUAUCGCCAAAUGAGACUGGUAGUUGUGGUUAGAAAUGGUGUGCCCGGACACACAGAGUAAAGCCCAAUUUUUCUCUUUCUUUUUUGGGAGUAAUAGAAUUUUCCCUUGAGAUUAAAGGAAGGAGGCUGUCCCGAGGCCUUUGGUUUCCAGCGCCGGGGCUGGGUUUUCCUGUGAAUCACCGUUCCUUGAUUCUGAGAUUUCGGAGGGUACGAAGAAGAGCAGUAGCUGAAAGAUUUACCUGCUGAUUUGGGCUUCUUAAAUCUAGAUUCGCCUUUUAUGUGUUUAAGAGCGAUAUUUACAUUCAAAUCAGCCUUUUAUAAUUGCAUUUUAAAUUAUAAUGAAAUGAUGGAGCCGGGGCUGCGGUCUUCCCUAGGUUUUUACAGUACGAGCCACUCUGCUGGGCUGCAUGUCACAUUC